UCCAUGGCGGAUCGUGCGGGGGAGACCUUCGGGUCUGCCGGUUCCUAUUCCCGGUCUGUCACCUCCGCACGGUCCGCCUCCA
rnacentral:antisense_RNA from 1 species